AGAGUUUGAUCCUGGCUCAGGGUGAACGCUGGCGGCAUGUUUAAGGCAUGCAAGUCGAAUGUCUGUUUACAGGCAUGGCAAACGGGAGAGUAACACGUUGGUAAUCUACCUCUAUCUCGGGGAUAACCCGGAGAAAUCUGGAAUAAUACCCGAUGGGCAUGGGGGGACAUAAGUCAUUCCCAUGUAAAGAUUUAUCGGAUGGAGAGGAGCCUACGGCACAUCAGCUUGUUGGUGAGGAAGAGCUCAAAGGCACGACGUGUAGCGGGUGUGAGAGCAUGACCCGUCUCACUGGGACUGAGACACUGCCCAGACUCCUACGGGAGGCUGCAGUCAAGAAUCUUCCUCAAUGGGCGAAAGCCUGAAGGAAGCAAAUGCCGCGUGGUUGAUGACGCUUUUCGGAGUGUAAAAACCUUUUAUCAGGGACGAAUUCGUGACAGUACCUGAUGAAUAAGUCACUGCUAACUUUNGUCCAGCAGCAGCGGUAAUACGAAGGUGGCAAGCGUUACCCGGAUUUAUUGGGCGUAAAGGGUCCGCAGACGGUUUGAAAAGUUCUUGGUCAAAUCUUGAGGCUUAACUUCAAGACUGCCAAGAAAACUCUCAGACUAGAGACCGGGAGAGGCAAGUAGAAUUGCUGGUGUAGUAGUAAAAUGCGUUGAUAUCAGCAGGAAUACCAAAAGCGAAGGCAGCUUGCUAGAACGGUUCUGACGUUCAGGGACGAAAGCGUGGGUAGCGAAUGGGAUUAGAUACCCUGGUAGUC
rnacentral:rRNA from 1 species